GAAUGAUUAGGCAAGUGUCCCCUUCCUCCUUCACUGUUCAGGUGAGUUCCUUCCAGAGUUGCGUGUUCUGUGGAAGACAAAGAUCUUCCCCAAGAAAGGAGGACCAUUCUCGGGUCAGGGGGAUCUGAGUGGCUGUGCAUCUUUGCUCGGACCUCCAAGUAAGCCCUGAGGCUCCAUUAGUAGGGGAGUGUAAGAGAGUUAAGUUCCCAAGACUUAACACAUCUAAAUGAGGCACUGUAUGUGACAACAUGUCUUUGCU
rnacentral:sRNA from 1 species